UCAAAGCACGAAUGAUUAAUUUGAGGGAGAAUCUCAGCUGGAGUAAAAUAAGGACCUGCUUCUUAUCAUCGUGUGCAGCUUUAAUGGGAAGUGAAGCCUGGGAUCUGAAUGACUUGACGGUCAGCUAGAGAGUUUUGCUUUCAACAGCUGAAGAACUUCAAGCAGAGCGAGGAGGAAAGAACACAAACCUGAGCACGGGAUGCAAGUCUCUUGCCAGCUGACUUUAGUAAAAACAGCGAGUACCGCAUAAUGGAAACAACCUUCCUUAGCUUGCAAAUCCGGGGGCUGGCGACGUGCUUGUUUGGUGCAGGUGGGCGAGUGGGAACAUUUUCACUAGGUUAAUCUGUGCUUGAGCUGUCUCCUAACCAGGUGGCACAAAAGCAGCAUGCCUACACAAUUCAGGAGUAUGGCAGUGUCUUGGGGCUCUGGCGAGUGGGCUUUACUCCCUGGCAGAGGUUCACGGCGUCAGCGCUGUAGUGCCAUUGGCUUCAGAAGGACAGGAGCACGAGUGGCCCCUCACUUGGCUGCUCACCACGGCCGUUGUGACUGCUUUUGCUAUUAGAGUAGAAGAGAUUUUUUUCCACGGUUACAGUAGAGCUAGGCUUUAAUGUUCUUGCUGAUUACCACUGACCCAAAAAGUCUGCCUAGCAUGCCUUUUAUAUGGAGUGUAUGUCAGUGAAGCUUAAAGUCUCUUCUCCUCCCCUAGGCUUCACUCCGCAGUCAUGUCUUUCAGACAGCUGAAAUGCCACAGCUCAUUCAUUGGGCUUUGUAGCGAAAUGCUUGAUCUAAUCAUGUCUGAAUAUUUUAAAAGGUUUUCGAUAAGGGAAGGCUAGAAAUGUGUUUUAAAAAGGUCUGCAACCCUGAAAAGUGUGUGUGUAUAAUUUAAAACUGCCAGCUCUGUCCCAGCUUUGUCCCUACCAAAAUGCUUCCCGUUUCUCAUUGUAAUCAUAAAUACUGUCAUAGAAGUCCUUAUUUCUCUAUUGCCCUGUAUAGUUUUAGUUGUCUUUUUAAAUGAGUUGCAGCAUUUGAAAGCCUUGGUGACAAAGACUGUACCAGUCGAUGAAACAAACUGUUCUGCCAUCCCUCCUGCAAAUAAUUUCCAUUAGCCCGUGUAAUUCUGUACUACGGAGCGUGCUUUGCGUAUCUGUCACAGUUACGCUGCAGCUAACCAACAAGUUUUGCAGUUUUCUCCAGAGGGCACUUUAAGUGGGGCUUCAAGCUGUCUCUGUCCCUCUGCACCACGUAUGUGAACUACUGAAAGCAAAAUGGCUUUUUCUGUAUUAAUGGAAUGCUUUCGUGCGGUCCAUUAUUAAGCUAGACUUCCCCGGUAUAAAAUUCCCUAUAGCAGGGUAAUUCCUGAAAAUAAACGGUAAGAAAUCUUACACUCCAACUUAUGCCACAGCUACUCAGCAGAACAGAUGCUGUCUGAGAUAAAGGUGGGCUUGAGUUGUUCUUGGUGCCUUUCCACUAUUUACAUACGGAGUACUUUGGUCUGUGGAAGUCACGUAUGUAAUGUCACAGCUAAGGGAAAAAAUCUUGGCAGCCACUACUGACCAUCGAGUUCCGUUCAACUGCACGUGCUAUAAUACACAACGAAACACUACUGCCCUAAAUGAAAGGAGCUAGCUAUUGUUUGAGCCUAGUUGGCACAUUAGGUUGCUAGCAAUGGGAGGGAAAAGGGGUGUAGUAGAAAGGGAAGCGGAAAAGGAAGAGUAUGAAACCUGGGGUACCCGUGAAGGGAGAAAAAGAGGUGGAUCCCAGUGCAGGUAGAUAAAUGGCACAUAACCUACAGCUGGAGCUGGGCUUUGGGAGAAGUCUCGUGUGUGCAGGGAGCUGCUGUCCUUCAGGAGGACAGGACAUCCAGAGGCCUUCUGAAAUGCUCUUAAUAAAAAAUCAUGUCCUUGACUUCACUGAGAAGGGCAAUGAUUACAGGUGUGAAGAGAAGGAGCUAGCCACACUGCACACGUUCAUGUCUUGGGGAAAGUAGAUGCUUAUUUUUUUACCUCUUUUUCUUGAGAAGGAAUGCAUGUCAUUAUUAUCUUCUUGUUCCUCUCUAAAGCAGCUAUUUAUGAAAGGAAUAUACAGGCUUUUCUCAGAAUUAAUUUUAGGGGGAAAAAGCCAAAUACUUCCUGUCAAUAAAAAUCUUAAUUUAGAGAGAGAAUACAAAAAAAAAAUAAUUAAAUACAUAGACUGAAAAACCCUCCUCAAAUCUCUACACGUACAUUUUUCUUUUAUAUUAUUUAUUCCCUGCUUAAGCAAAUAGGACAGUCCAGGAGGUCUCGCUUUUUUAUUAUUAUUAUUUUAUUUUGUUACUGCAAAGCAUAUUGUAAUAGGGAGAUUACUCCCUCUCUCCCUUCUCUCUCUCCCCCAGCUGCAGAGCCUCCCCUGAGAGAUAACACCAGCCAGGGAGAGGAAGAAGGAAGUAUUAAGGGAGUAUUCAAUAGAUCCCCAGCUUCUCAUAUGCAACAGAGGUGAGAAGAGCCAGCCUCACUGGGUCAACCUGAAUCACUAGCAGUAUCAGUGAAAGCUAUUGCAGAGCUUGCAGCAGUGUGGCGUCCCUGUUGAGAGGCAGGAGACCCGGAUUAUGGUCUAUGCCUGGCCAGUAGCCUGCUCUGUGGUGGCAAGCAGGUUGGUUCACCUCUUUCUAUCUCUGCUUUUCACUGGCAUUUUGAUCAUGAAACUCUUGGGGGAGGGAUAGUCUUUUCACAGAUGUUGGCUAAUGCCUAGGCCAAAGGGACCCUGAUGUUAGUGGAUAGUUUGGGCACUUCAUGUAAACGAAAAUAAGGAAGCAAUGAAGGACAUUUAAGCUGCUUAUCCAUCAAGGAAACAUUUGUUUGAAUCAAUGCUGUACCUUUUCAUCUUGACUAGGCACAUUCAUGUUUAUAGUCAGAAAUCAGAGCAGAAGGAGGAUUUUAAUAAAUAAUGUAUCGUGCAUACUUGCUGUGGCCAUGUUCUUAAAGCAAAGUGAAGGUGCAAGAAAAAUGCAUUCAGAAUAUUCAGAAGAGAAUAGAUGAACUUAAGACAUAUUUUUUUUUCCUAUCUUCAUUUUAGCAGAGCCACUAAAACACACAUUAUGUUCAUUUUCCUGAAUGCUGGCUCUGCAUAACAUUUUUUUUUCUGUCAAAAAUAAUGAUAAUAGGGAAAAAAAGGAAUCUAAUAUGCCAGCUUUUGAGCAAAGUUACAUAUGAGCUGUCUGGCUUGUUACCUCUGCAGUUCUGUACAUUUAUCUGGCCUGGGAUGUUUGUGUGUCCUGACCUGACCCCUUUUCAUUGCAGGCAUGUGUUAAAACAGUAUAUUCACAGGGCCUGACCCUGGUGACAGUAGGGAUCUGUGUAAGAGCACUCUGCCCUCUCCCCAGGAACUUGGCUGAGUAUUUGGCUGAGGCGUUCAGCUGGCGAUGACCUCAGGCACAUAUACAUAUUGCAUCUCUCCUUUGCAUUGGUGGGGGAACCACAAUGGAGAUUUAGAGCCAUCUCACGGGUUAUGCAAAGCCAUCCUCCUGAAAUAAAGUUAGCUGUGAAAUUAAUGUCUGCAGCUCAAAAACAGGGAAAGGAAUGGGUUCACCACUGCUGAAAAAGGUUUUGAACUUUUUGUCCUGCAUAAUAAAUAAUCAAAAGCAUCUCUAAAGAACCUGCUAAGUAUUUCUAAAGAGAAUAAAGAAGGGAUCUGAAUCGUGUCCAUCCCUCACCGGUCAGGGCUUGAUAGCCAUGGAUGUGACAUGCUGAGAGAGGGAAAUAGAAAUGUGUGGGAGGGGAGUCAAAAUCAUCAGAACUCCCAGAGGGAAUCAGAGCAUCUCCAGAUGACCUCGCCCCGAUGAACCUUAAUACAGUUGAGCUUUAAAUUGCCUUGCAGCUUCGCUCUUGGAAAAAAAAAAAAAAAAAAAAAAAAGAAAAAAGUUACAAGAAAUCAUUUUGAAUGAUGGUUUCAUUAUUCAGCUCUGGUGGAUAAACUUCCUCUGGGCUUAAUUUGAAGUGCAGGUUUCUACUAUAUGUAAGUCAAGGCCCUGGCUAGCGCCUAUUUCCCUUUAGUUGGCCUUAAGAAUUAAUUCCCUUUCCUGGCUCUCUAGUGUGCUCCUCUGAGUUACUUCUUUCAUUUCAGCUUUUGUUGUUGUGUUUGAUUUCCUGCUUUGCCUGGAAGAGAAGCCAAACUCUUCCUCUUCGUGUCUGAAUGUUGAAUUGGUUGCUGUAGACCCUUCGGUACCUGUGUGUGUGCCUGCUCAUGUUCACGUGUGCUUGGCUUCUCUCUCAUUUGGUAAUCUCACACAAUCGGAGUCAGUGCACGGUGCUCCAGGAUCCCGCCUGUGAAUAAGACGUCUCUUUGAUGCUUUUUAUACCCUGUGACUGAAGAAGAUUGGUGGCAAUGGUGUUCAGGCGGUGGGUGCUUAUGCGCCCUUAGCCUUCCCUUGAAAGAUGAAGGAUUCCUCUUCUGAGGAGCAUUGGAGGUCCUUCGGCUGAUGUGCUGCCUUUUGACGAGGGAGUGUUUGGGAAGCACCAUCUGCGAGGACACAUCAGCAUGCAGCGUGUCCCACAGCUUGUGCACACGUAAGUGUGUCAUGCAAUAUGCAGGAAAUGCAAAGUGCCAGACCAGUAUAACUUGAGAGUUGUAUUGGAAGGAGAUUGCUUUGCUUUGCGCUGAGGAUGCAUGAAUGAACUAAUAAAUAAGUAAAUACAUCUGAGGAAGGAGGAGAAGGAGGGGGAAAGUCCAGUUCACUGCUUCAUAAACUUCAGUGCCACGUUAACCACUUUUGCUCCUACAUCAGACCUGCUAUGCUAUCACAGUGCUUUAAUGUUUAAUUCACUUUGAUUUGGACUACAGAAAUAUCAAGUGUUUCUGCAGGCAAACCGAGGCAUCUAAGGAGCCCUGUUGGGAAUAAAACUCUAGAAAGACCUUCAGAGAAAUUAGAGAAGGGGCACAUUAUUGGUUUUUAUUCUAGUCCUGCAGUUCUGCUGUGUGCUCUGUUUUUCCCCUUCUGUUUAAAUGAGUAUGCGGGGCAGAUUGAUUUUAAUAUUGUGUCCUCAUUUCUGUGGGUGACCUGUGGAGGCUGUCUACAGCAAGAUUAGAAAAACAAGCAAAUGUUUAAUUUUGUGAGGGGGAGGGGAGAGGACUCAGAGGCCCUGCUGCUGUUAGAGGACAUAAGACACUGCUGCAAAACAGACAAACUGAAAUCUGCUUGUCAGGAGAAAGAGCCUUGAUCAGCCCUUGCCUUCCUGCUGCCUUCAGACAUCCAUCUAGGUCAUAUACCCUUCCUAAGGAAUCAUUAGGAAAAAUAAGCAACCACUAAGUCUUAUAUUAAUGUGCUGUCAAAGAGGUGGUCAAAUAUGAAUGAACCAUGCAGCAGAGACACCGCAGACUCCCCCCAGUGCUGCUUCAGGGAGGCUAUUGAUGAGUCCAGUCCUUUCUGCCUCGCUGUGACAGUGUGAAGGGUCUGAGCAUUGCCAGACAGAGAUGUCAGGGAGCUUGGUGCAAUUAGAUGCUCUGCCUUCAUCCUCUGCACCGUACGAAUGCUCAGUUCUCUUCUGAGGGUAUGGUGUGAUUUGAGGGGUGAGGGCCAAAGCUGCCUCGGUGUCACCACCUCCCUUAGGGUUUCAGCUGGUGCUCUGUGUUGGCCUGAAAAGCAUAUUUAUGCAUGUGUGAUAAUGCAUAUUUCUGAAUGUGUGCAUUUAUAAAUAAGCUGGAAAGCGUAUUUAUGCAUGUGUGUUACGGGUGUGCCAAGAAGACCAUUUUGCAGCAGCCAUGACAGCAUGUCCAAGAGCUUUGUGCUGUGAUUCACCAAACUGGUUCAGCCCACACCUAGCUAUUGGGCCACUGCAGUGCUAGGAGGUGGCUGCAAGGGGAGGCGAAGGGCCAGCAGCGCUCUGUGAGCAAGGGCUAGAAGCAGAAGGCAUGGUCCUUAUGGCUGACACUUGCCCCCGUACCAGGGAGGGGCAUAAUCAUCUGAAAAUCCUCGGGCCGUGGGAGCAGGAUCAGAAAAUCCUGGUAUGUAGGAAGUGAAAUAGAGAACCAAUAACAGUGAACAGAAUUACUAUAAUUCACCCUACUUUUUUUCCAGACUCCGUACUCAGUUAUCGUGGUGGUGCUGGCAGACUGAGGAAGUAGAUGUGCAAAUAGCUAACUUGUAAUUUGCAAGUGCAAUUAGCUGGUUUUGUGAGUUCAGUCACAGUAAUUGCAGGAGCCUAACUUAUGUGCUUCAGUGUUUUUCAUCUUCAGAGCAAAGACUAAUUAAACAUUAAUAAUAACAUUAACAGCAAAAUUAACAUAUAUAUAUUUGAGACCAUGAAUUAUUUGCUUUAUUGCAAGUCACAUAGGCGUGAGGGAGACAAAAUGCAUGUUGAACAGAAAGAAGCUCGCUGCAUCUUUUUGACCGCCCCAACACAGCUGUUUCAUCACGAUGCUGGUGUUGUAGCUGUGGCAGCAGGCAGCUUGAGGCAUGGCUGCGUGAGGAUUAGGGCUCUUUGUAAUGAAAUCUGGAGAGCGCGUGCUGUAGGACGGCACGUAAUGCGGGAAGUCAUUCUCGGAUUCCUGGUACGUACAAGGCUGCAUAAAUGCAUGCAGCACUUUACAAACAGCGGAGGAAAUCUAGCCCUCUUCCAGGUGUUUUUACCAGGACCAGGACAGCAAUUUGGCCAUGGAAUGGCACGAAGAUGCUAGGCCAAAUGUAGCAGAUGUAGGAAGGCUUCGAGGGGAAAAUGGGUUCUGUGGAGAUUUAGGUCAUUAGGUAAAAAGGAAACGGGAAGCUGUUCCAAGUGUAGUGGGUGGUAUGGAGAAAAGGCGCAGAGCUGAGAGUGGGAGCAUACUACAGCUGUAAUAACUGAACUCAAGUGUCUGUGUCUGUUCACAGGCACAGAAAGUUGCUGUUACAUUUCUUAUCUAGCCAGAUGAUAGAUGCACGCAAUGCAGUACGAGGAUGUCGGCUGUUUCUGGAUGUCCUCCUGCUCUUUGCUCACCUGCACCACAGCUUUGUCAUUCUGUCACUGCUUUGAGCAGCACAAGGAAUGGCUGGCUUGCCAGGAAUGACAUCUUGUUUCCUUCAAACAAGUGAAGACGAAACUUGCACUCAUAGUGCUGGUGGUCUGUUAGCCCCUUAUCUAAGCCAGACAUAAACCAGCUGUUUAUUACAAGCUUCCAUCCAUUUUUUAAACCUGGAAAUUUAGAUUUUUCUUCUGAGCAGCGGCCACCUUUGCAGCUUUCAGGUCCUCUGUCCUCUUUAAUUGGCCCUUUCUGUUCGUAGUCUGUCAUUUAUUUAGUGUCUGCAAAACAAGUUAAAGUCAACAUCAGUCAGGACAAACUGUACCUGUCACUGGGGAUUUCAAGAAGUACAAACGAUCCAUAGUGUUUAUAAUGACUAAAGAAAGAAGAAAUAAUAAAACUCUGAGCUUCAAAUGUAAAAUAAAAUAGCAAAGGAAAAGGAAAGAGGCAGGGAAAUAGAAUUCCUUAAUACCAUGCUACCAUGGUUGAAGAAGUCGUCAUGACUCAAUCACAGGCUGUGAUGGCUGCUUUAUCAGGCGUGAACCUCCAUUUAUCCUCCUUGCCGUGAAAGUGUAUGAAAAAUGACUCCGUGUUACUCCUAGGUGGGCUGGUGUGCUACUGAGAUCAAGCACCUCUGACAUACCAAAGUGCAGGAGCUGUUCCCUUACUUGGGCUUUUAUGAGUUGGCAGAAAUACUUGUCCAGAUCUUAUAGCCCAGCAGUUCAGGUCACUGUUGGGUGUGAGGAAAGCAAGGUGGAGUAUGGAGAGAGGGGUGGCGCAAUGAGGCAAUGUUGGGUGAUAGGUAGCUUACGUCUCACUUGUAUUUGCUUCGCCUGGCAACAACCCUGCUUCUAAUGAAAAGCUCUUGUGAGUAUGUGUACCUGGUAGACCUUAGAUAAGCCAAAUUGGAGAGCAAAGGGAGAAAGAGGGAGCACUUUUACAGUUUCUGCAGAAGGAGGUAAGGAGACCAGGCUUGUAGCAGAGGCAUCACCUUUGAAAGCCUUUCGCUAUCAGGGAUUUUGUACCUGUCGUUUUGUAGUUAAUUGACAGAAACCUGCUCCCUGUCUUGGAGACAGAGGAAGUGCCCCCCACUAAUUGAGCUAAAGGUGUUUUGUUUUCUUUUCUUUAAACAAGGACAGGGGGAGGUGGAAAGCAAGAGCCCUGUGGCUUUGCUCAAAACUUGGCUGAGACCUCCACAUUUUGGACAGCUGGCUUCUCAUGCAAUUACAAGCAUUUUGAUGAUGGGUUUACAGUUCCUAUGUAAGUAAUCCUUAGCUCUUGUUUAACAAAUUCUCCAGCUGAGCCAGCAAUCUGAUAUUUGCUGGUAGCUUACGGGAGGCCUAGGGAAAAACAACAGCAAGAAGGGAGGGCAUCUUUCCCACCUUCCCCCAGUUCUGCAGGCAGCAAAGCUUCUGAAAAGGGUAGGGAGGAAGGGAGACUUGUCUUGGCUUUCCCAUACUGUGCAACUUGUGGCAUUUUGCCAUUCUGCAUGAAGAUGACAUGAAAAACUGCUUGAGGUUUUUCAUAAAGAGAGAACCCAGAGGGUCAGUUAAUAACUAGGCCUACAGACAUGAGAGUACAGCAAAACGGGCCAUAAAGCUGUAUUUCUGCUCCCUAUGUGACUGCUCUGCCUGUCCCUGAAGAUAGUUAUGAGCUUGGCAGCAACACUUCUACCUCCUCUUUCUCCAACAAUCUCAGUGCAAGGCUGAGUGCCUGCAAAAAAAA